CGGGGAGCGGAUUGGUCGGAAAGUAGGUUAGUGGUGCGACAUUUAGGGAAGGCAGAAAGUAGGUCAGGGACGGAGGUGCCUGUUUACCCGCGCCGGACUCACCGCCGCCGCCGCCGCGGGAUCUGAGUGGGGGCGCGGGCGCGGGAGCUCCCGCCGAGCCACGGUGGUGUUGGCUAGAGUGCAUGCUUUUGGACCCAACCUUGGCUUUUCAAAUGUGGAAUCCUAGGCCUUCACUGACUGGCUGUCACCCCUCACAUCAGAAAAACAGUCAGGAAAUCCCGUUGGCUGUCCCUUCAGAGUAUACCAGGAAUCAGCAGCCACCCAUCACCCACCACGGCCACUCAGCCCCGACUCCGCGGCCGCCUUGCAUCCCGUCCAUCAGCGCAGCCCGCCUGAAGAAACGUCUAGAAUUCAGCCGCCUCCCAGCCCCUCAUCUCCUGAGACCAGUCUGCUCCUGAGACCAGGGCUGAGCUGGCCAUCUCUCCAGACUGUUGUCGUCGUCUCCUUCCUGGCCUCCCUGUGCUCCCUUUGCCUACCACCCCUCCCACACACACACUCAUGCACACGCUCCUGCCACCGCCCGCACACACACAGUCCCCCACGGCCACAUGUAC
rnacentral:lncRNA from 1 species